AGAGUUUGAUCAUGGCUCAGGAUAAACGCUGGCGGCGCACAUAAGACAUGCAAGUCGAACGGACUAGAUUUAUUCUUAACGAUUAAAUUGAAGUUAGUGGCGGACUGGUGAGUAACACGUAAGUGACCUACCUAUAAGAGGGGAAUAACAAUGAGAAAUCAUUGCUAAUACCGCAUAAGCUCACAGCAAUACAUGUUGCAGUGAGAAAAGGAGCAAUCCGCUUAUAGAUGGGCUUGCGGCUGAUUAGCUAGUUGGUGGGGUAACGGCUUACCAAGGCGACGAUCAGUAGCCGGACUGAGAGGUUGAACGGCCACAUUGGGACUGAGAUACGGCCCAGACUCCUACGGGAGGCAGCAGUCGGGAAUAUUGCGCAAUGGAGGGAACUCUGACGCAGUGACGCCGCGUAUAGGAAGAAGUUUUUCGGAAUGUAAACUAUUGUCAUUAGGGAAGAGAAAGGACGGUACCUAAGGAGGAAGCCCCGGCUAACUAUGUGCCAGCAGCCGCGGUAAUACAUAGGGGGCGAGCGUUAUCCGGAAUUAUUGGGUGUAAAGGGUGCGUAGACGGGGAAGUAAGUUAGUUGUGAAAUCCCUUGGCUUAACUGAGGAACUGCAACUAAAACUACAUUUCUUGAGUGCUGGAGAGGAAAGUGGAAUUCCUAGUGUAGCGGUGAAAUGCGUAGAUAUUAGGAGGAACACCGGUGGCGAAGGCGACUUUCUGGACAGUAACUGACGUUGAGGCACGAAAGUGUGGGGAGCAAACAGGAUUAGAUACCCUGGUAGUCCACACUGUAAACGAUGGAU
rnacentral:rRNA from 1 species